UGCAGCAUUAAUAUGGGUAAUUAAGGGGCAUGAAUUGUGGAUCAUUAUGAAGACCCAUUUGGUCGUUUUAGGCAUUUUAUCCCUUUUUUCCAAAAUUACCCUUCGUGUAAUUCAAUUUCGGAGUUUAUGACUUGCGGGGAGGGGGUAGAGCGGUUCCCGAGGCGUCCGUUUGUCUUUUGAGUCAUUGGUUCAAGGCAAACUCUUUUUGGAAAUCGAAGUGCGCGAGUGAGUUCGUAGCGUGUUUUAUGACAAGUUUGCAUUUUUGGCUUGUGUCAGUAGGACUCCGAACGAGUUUCGAGUGUUGGAUUGGAUUUGGUAAAAACCAGAUUUUUCUGUUUUUGGUGCAACUGCACCUGCAUGCCCGUUUCAUCUUGAGAAGGUCCGCAGGUACGAGCUUAAGCAAGGCAGGUAGGGUGUCGCUCCUGCGCUGGUUGGUCUGUUGGCGCAUGGCCGCUUCUGCGCACUUUCUUACGCUUCUGCGAAAUUUUGGGAGGGUUAGUAGAUGCUGCUUCUGCGGAUUAUUUCCUGCCAAUGUGAGGCUGCACCUGCGAGCCUCUGCUCGCUUCUGCGGAAAUCGAUGAAAACAAAACCCUUUUAAUAUCUUUUUCCCCAAAUUCGAACCCCAUUAUUUCUAAUUCAUUUUGAGAGCUAGAGAGCUCGAUGUUAGGUAUUUUCAAGGGAUUCUUCAACCAUCAUCCUUGGGACUUUGAUCAUUAUGAGGCUCUCUGCAAAGGAAAGGUGUAGGCUUGAUUGUUCGUGACUCCCGCUCGGCCUUCGAGAUUUUGAUCCAGGUACCAAUUCGAGACCUCGUGGCUGAUACCGAGGUGGUCUUUUGGGAGACUUCAGGGUGAGCCAUUAGAUCCAUCAGCAACCCUGGACUUCUUCCUAUCUUAUAUUCAUAUCUUCCAUUACUUUCGAGACAAUUUCUUGUAUUUCAGUAUUUCAACUAUUGUAAUAAUCUUUAGAAGCUCUUGUACAAGUCAAGACCAAGUUUUUGGGUUCUAGCUAUUAAAUACUUCCUCACUUAC